rnacentral:lncRNA from 1 species
AUGUCGACAGGUUCCAUCGUUAUAUUACAAUCCCAAUUAAAGAGAAAUUCCCCUCGAAGCCAUAAACCUAAAAUGAAAAGAACUCUACAGGGAUGCAUAAGCCUCUUCCUUGAACAAACCUGCUAUUUAUCCUUUUUUUUGUCACUGCUUAUGUGUGCUCAGAUCCCCGCUGCACCACUGCUGCAAGCUGAUGAAGAAGUAAAGCUCCGGCAUCCAUCCGUGGUCUGUCAAGAUUUCACUUGUAACGAGUCUCCCAUGGAUUCGAUUAUUAUUGGGAGCUGUGGAUGCAGCAGAGCCUGUCCUUUCCUCCACCUUCUGUCUUUGCUGCUGAAUGACCAGCAUCCACGGAGUCCACUGGCUCUUCUGCCAGGACCGGCAGCUGUCCACUUCGGGCCUGCAUUGGCUCCCAGAGCUAGGGCACAGGAUUGAUUCCACAACGAACCAGAUGCUGACUUCCUCAAGAAGGGUCUACCCAGUUGUCUGGCUGGGUGUGGAGGAAGCUCUUGAACUUGCACGCUGCCUGUUUCCCAGCCCAAGACUCUCCAGAUAGGCAAUGCUUGUUUACGACAACACCUUAUGUCACCUGGCUCGUCCACAUCCUGGGCCCUUGCACAUGCACAAUCUCCUCUCACCUAUUCUAGUGGUAGGAAUGCACAGUCUUUGCAACUCACAUGUGAUUCUGUGACAUGCCAGGGAUCUGGGCCGAGGACUGGCAACUUCCCAUGGACCUGCAUGGCCGGAAAGGAUUUUCCUCAGCCCUCGCAGGAUUGCUGGCUGGAUCUAAAAAGAAAGCCGGCAAAGGCAGACUGACAGGAGAAACCCCUGUACAUUCAUUUAGUGCAGGUUGCACAUGACACAGGAGCCUUCAUAGGAAACGAAAGCCCAGACAGAGAGCCAAACGUGUACAGUUUUAUGCUAGGUUUGGUGAGUGGUGCACUGCUAUGGAGACUGAGCAAAGAGAAUGCCGUAAUGGUGACAACUUGGGGAAUUUAGCAAGAGCUGUUCAGCUUCCUUUCUGUGACACUUUGUUGCCAGAGUCACGCGGGGACAUGGAGGGGAUGUGGUAGGCACCCCCCUCGGGGGUCUGAUGACCUGCUCCAUGGAGGAUCAGAAAACCGCCUCUCUUCAUACUCCCUUCAGGGAAGAAAGGUGAAGAAAGGUCAGGGAAAGCUCUCUGCCUUUGCCAUUUUUCCAGAUCCUCUCAGCUUUAAAUACUCAGUUUGCCAAGACGUCAUAUUUUGGGAUACCAUCUUCUGAGUCCCAUCAACACAACUCAAGAUCCUCAGCGACUGGAAAUGCGCUCCUUUUUCUCUCUGAUCUCCAGGUCAAAUCAGUGUCUGUUCAGCCUAGACUGAAUGCAUGCCAGCCCCGUUUCUUCCAUGGAUUAUGUGGCCCCCUGGUCGUGAGUAGGGCCCAUGUAACUCUACCUGAAGUUCCAUCCUCAUGAGAAGUCCUGGGAAAAAUUUUGUCCUGAGAAAAGCUGACUGAAAAGUUUAUGGAAUCGUUUGCCAUUUCUGGGCUUUUAUCCUGUGCCCAGGACUUGAUUUGUAUUGUCUCAAUUAAUAUGUGCAAUGUCCGUGGAGCAGAUGCAUUUAUUUCCACUUCUGAGGAAUGGGAACUGAGGUCCAAGGUCACGUCUACAAGCAAAGAAAACAGGAUUCAAACCUAGUUCUGUCUCCAACUGAAACCACUGGUCUUUUUGUCACAUUUUGUGCUACUUUUCCUAUUGGGAGCUGCACACGAGGGCAAUGUUGCCUACUCUUCUCCUAAGGUCCAGCACACAGCAACUUUAGUCCUCUGGCUAAUGGCAGGCGGCUCCGACUCACUGUUCCCCACAUUCGUAAAGCACAUGUUGUCACCAAGGUGUGCUUCUCUGCCCCCUGACACUGCAUGCCCAUUGUAGGCAGCUGAGACAGCUCAUCUACUGUAGCUCCAUCCCCAGCUGGAUGUUCCUCUGGAACACUAACUUUUCAACAACUGUUUAUUGAACCAAUGUACAAAUGUGUAAGUACAUCUACCCUAGGUCUGUGAAGGACGGAAGUUUGAAAUUAGGGCUUAGAAAGCAGAUAUUCACUUGUUUCAGGGGCAUCUGGAUCCUGUGUUCUUAGGCUAAUGGUGCCAACUUCACCACCCACUACCCCUCCCAGCCUCCCCAGUCUAGCAUAAUCUUAGCACUGCACACAGAGACUUAUAACGGGAUUUUUGAAAAUGACAGAAAACCAUUCCCUCCUCUUUGUGGCAGACUUAGCAAGCUAUGACAGCUCCCUCCAAGCUCCUAAAUUUCCACAGCUUCUGACAGCUUCCUCUGACUAUCAAAGCCCAAUCUUGUGAUAAAUACUCAAUGUUCCUCAAACUAUCCAUGAUGGGGAAAAAUAUUUUUUCUCCCAAUUUGUCAUAAUGUGAUACUCAUGGAGAAUAAAACAUCACACAUUUGGAUAUCAUGG